AAACUUUACAAUGCGAGCAAUCGUGAUAAGGAAACCCUGAGUGCCUGUCAACGCAGGCUGUUCUGGUGCCUAACACACACCAGGAGAAAGGGCGGGGCAAGACCGGUGCCAGCCGCCGCGGUAAUACCGGCUGCUCGAGUGAUAGCCACUUUUACUGGGCUUAAAGCGUUCGUAGCUUGGUCGUUAAGUCUCUGGGGAAAUCUUUUGGCUCAACCAAAAGGCGUCUCAGGGAAACUGGCGACCUAGGAACCGGGAGAGGUAAGACGUACUUCGGGGGUAGGAGUGAAAUCUUGUAAUCCCCGAGGGACGACCGAUGGCGAAGGCAUCUUACCAGAACGGCUUCGACAGUGAGGGACGAAAGCUGGGGGAGCAAACCGG
rnacentral:rRNA from 1 species